rnacentral:lncRNA from 1 species
UUUGAUGUGACGAGGAUCUGGAGCAGAUGCAGGAGGAGAGCGCCUACAACAGGCUGCUCAAGGAUCUGGAGCAGAUGCAGGAGGAGAGCGCCUACAACAGGCUGCUCAAGGAUCUGGAGCAGAUGCAGGAGGAGAUCGUCAACAAGUACCGCGACAAGGUGCUCAAGGAUCUAGAGCAGAUGACGGGAGGAGAUCGUCAACAAGUGCCUCCACCUGCCGGUGGCCAAGGGCUUCGCCGACCUCGAACCCUUGCCGGAUGCUCCUCCACCUCAGGAGGAGGAGAAUCGAAGGAUGCUGCUCCUGGACAUGGUACCUUGGUAUUCAGGGUAGGCUCUUCUACUUCUACAUAUUAAUUAAACCAAGUUAGAUUCCAGAUGAGACCAAAAGAAAACAUCAGACAUCCUCAUUGUUAAUUUAUACAGGACAUCAGCUGAUUUAUUCAAGACAGCAUUUGAUCUUAUGGUCUCUGUGACUCUUUUUGUUGGGCGAUUUGACAUGCGCAUGAUGCAGGUAAGGGGUGCUUGUUCUUGAUGUAAGGUGAUCCAAUGUAAAAUCCACAGUAUUUUCCCCUGUAAAGUUGACCUCCAAAAUGUUGUACCUGUUCAUUUAAUGUUGAUACUUUGUUAACUGCAAUGUCUCUGCAUCUUUGUACAUCUCUGUGUUCAAACAUUUUUUAUUUUUCAAACCAUUUUUUAUAUCCUUCUGUAGGCUGCAAUGAAAGGACCAACAGAUGACGCGCAGAAUGCUGACCUGUUAUAUGACUACUUCAAUGAAAGGGAAGACCUUUGGUUUGACUUUGUUGCAGACACUGGUGAUGGAGGAAAUUCAUCAUAUACAGUUGCUCGACUGUUAGCUCAACCAUCUAUUAGGACUGUAAUUGGUGGCUCUAUGCAUACUCUUCCACGUGGGAACUUACUUCUUAUCGGUGGAGAUCUCGCGUAAGAUUUUAUCAUAUUUAAUUAUACAUGGUUCUUCUCUGCAGUCAAUCUACAAGUGCAUAACUGCAUAUUCACAAUGCAUCUCUCUGUUGACUUUUUCUUGGCAAUUAGGACUGUACAAUUCACUGCAUCUUGAUACCUUGGAAAUUAAGUCACUUAAAUUCUAACUAAGUGUUGGAAGAUCUAUUUAGGCUGUUAACAACUUGGUUGAGCUUUUGUCCUAUAUUUGGAAGAAAGUGUUAUGUUAUUGAUCUCUGUGCACCACAAUAUUUUGCAUUUUGCAUCUUCCCUGCUUAAUUGAUAGGCAGAGCUACCGCAUUAUGCUCUGAAACCAAAGAUUACAUUAGUCGCAUCCAUAUGAAUCAUGAUAUUCUUCUUCUUCGGAGAUAAAGAUCUGAUAUUAUUUUUGAAUAUAUGAUUCUUUGUGCCUGGUAUCAGUUGGAAUUCUCCAUUCCAUCAGGCCCAUAUAGCUGAACCUGUUUCUAGCUCUUGUAUGGCCUGUAGCCAGCAGACAUUUCAAUCUGCUAUUGCUUCCACCCUGAGAUCCAUAUCUUUAUUGCCCAUACAUAGUGGUACAAUCUAUAAACUAGACAAGAUUUAGCCCAUUAUAUUAGUGCAUUGUAGAUCUGUCAUCUUGGAAUCUUGGAAUUUGCAGGUACCCAAACCCUUCAUCAUUUACAUAUGAGAGGCGCUUCUUUAGGCCCUUUGAGUAUGCUCUGCAACCUCCACCUUGGUAUAGGGCUGAACAUAUAGCUCUGGAUAAGCCUGAGCUUCCUCCCGGUGUAUCAAAGAUGUCUGAAUAUGAUGGGCCACAGUGUUUUAUAAUUCCUGGAAACCAUGGUCUGUUAACAUUCUUGAUCAAUCUAAUCUAUCUAAUUUGACUUUAUUUCUUGUGUACUUGAUCAAUUAUGUAAGGAAUAUGAUGCGUGCUUGUAUUGAUUUCUUAAUUGUGACUUGUUUUUAACAGACUGGUUUGACGGGCUGCACACAUUUAUGAGAUAUAUAUGUCACAAAAGCUGGUUAGGUGGAUGGUUUCUGCCUCAGAAGAAGAGCUAUUUUGCAUUGCAGCUUCCCAAGGGUUGGUGGAUCUUUGGUCUUGAUUUAUCUCUUCAUGGUGACGUUGAUGUGUACCAAUUCAAGUUUUUUGCAGAUCUUUGUCAGAAAAAGGUGCAUUUUUCUUCACGUGCUUGCCCCUUUUUCUUCACUUGCUUGCCCCCCCCCCCCCCCCCCGAAAUGGUAGCGGGAAUUUGCUUCAUUUGUGCCUUUUUUUUUGGUUUCAUGUGGUUCAACAUGCAGUGAUUAAUUGCUUUAAGUCUUCAAACAUGUAUGUUUAAUAUUAGGAUGUAUAGUAAAACAAAAAAAAUGUUGACAAAAGAUUCUUUGCAGUCUUAGGCCCUUUUGCAUUCUAGUUGGAAAGAUACUCAUGUAUGUUUCCAGAAUAUCUCUUGGAAGUUGUGGCUAAUAUUUUAAUUUCCAGAUUUGAUUGAUCCGCUAUAAUACUAAAGUUCUGCAGGUUGGGGAGAAUGACUCUGUGAUUGUAGUGACACAUGAGCCAAACUGGCUUCUUGAUUGGUACUGGAAGGAGACUACAGGCAAGAAUGUCUCACAUUUAAUUCAGGAAUACCUGAAUGGAAGAUGUAGACUUCGCAUGGCGGGGGAUUUACACCAUUUUAUGAGGCAUUCUGCCACUCGAUCAGAAAAGCCUAAUUUUGUGCAACACUUGCUUGUCAAUGGAUGUGGUGGCGCCUUUUUGCACCCAACACAUGUUUUUAGAAACUUUGAGAGGUUCUCUGGAACCACCUAUGAAUGCAAGGCAGCUUAUCCAUCUUAUGACGAGUCUAGUGGGGUAUGUUACUCCCUAUGUUGAAGUAUUUUUUUUUCUUUUUAGCUUAUUGAUCAGCUUAACAUGCUUGUGUGAAUUGUUAGAUGAGCAAGAUCUAAUUUACAAAAUUCACAGAUUGCACUGGGUAACAUACUGAAGUUCCGCAAGAAGAAUUGGCAGUUUGAUACUAUUGGUGGUUUUAUCUACUUUAUAUUGGUGUUUUCAAUGUUCCCACAGGUCAGUUACAGAUUCCCAAAGCUGCCAUUUUCUUUAAACUAUUAUCCUUUCUCGCACUUCAUAAUUAGUAACUGUUGGUGUUUGUUUGUAAUAGUAAACUUGAACGUUUAAAUUCCUUCCUUUUUCCUCAUUUUUUUUACAAAUUGAAACCUUGAAGCACUGGACAUGUCUCUAUUUUUCAUUGUGCAAUUGUUCUAAUUUGUCUUUAAAUAACUGAGCUCUGCUUUAUUACUAGUCUCUCUAUUAAAUUAUUUAAACAUCUCUUGAAGGCCGUAUAACUUUCCAAUCAUGGACCAUGCAAUUUAUUUCAAAAUAUUCAUAUAUCAACAUGAACAACCAACAUCGUCAAAGGGCUGAGUUCAACUCAUCCCCUCAAGGACUAAACAACCGAGAACAGGCUAAUUAAUCAUCAUCAGUUGGAUUGUACCAGUCCCUGGCUGACCACCAGUAGCAAAUUAUUUUCCUAGGCAGAAUUUACUAAGUUCUGCUUGUCAAUUAAGUAGAAUUUGCACAUCCUUUGCAAGUUCUGCUUGUCAAUUUAGUAGAAGUUGCACAUUUUUUUCUUUCUUUGAACCUGCCCCUAAACGUGCUGACCUCUGUUGUGAAUUUAUUGUUUGAUGUUCAUGUUUACCUUUUCUUAUAAUGUAACUGAUGUGCAGUGAUGCUUAUACAUCUUGAAGCAUGUUCAUUGACCCAAAGUCAGUCAGUCAAUAUUGUUCAUAACCAGCCUCAGAGGCGUACUUUGCAUCACAUAAAUCAUCCUGUUACUUUUUUUGAUCUCUUGGUUGGCUACUGGUUUCAGUUUCUUGUUAUUGUUGUUCUCUUCCAUUUUUUAACUGCACACUCAGUCACCUAUUAUUGCCUGGAAGUUCAAUCAAUUUGUACUCAUAUUCUUACUUAUAUUUCUACUUGUUCCAGUGUAAUCUUGUUCACAUCUUCAAUGAAGAAACUUGGUCUGGGCGUGUGAAAAGCUUCUCAAGUACAAUAUGGAGUGCUUUGCUUUAUAUUUUUGAACACUCUUAUGUCUCUUCAGUAGCAAGUCUAACUUUAUUGAUGGCAUCAUAUUCAUUUGUACCAUCGAAACUCUCACGGAGGAAAAGAGCUAUUAUAGGCGGCCUCCAUGUUUUGGCCCAUUUAACUGCAGCUCUACUUUUAAUGUUGCUGCUGGAGUUGGGCAUUGAAAUUUGUAUCCGGAAUCAUUUAUUAGCAACUUCAGGUAUGCCAUACAAUACUGUGUUUCCUAAAUUCUUGCUGUAGAUGAUAGAUAAAGAUCCAUUCAAAGGUGAAAGCUGUGAAUACAUUUUUUUUGUAGGUUAUCACACUCUAUAUGAAUGGUAUCGGUCCAUGGAAAGUGAGCAUUUUCCAGAUCCUACUGGUCUUCGUUCUCGUUUGGAACAAUGGACGCUGGGACUGUACCCAGCAUGUAUAAAAUACCUUAUGUCGGCCUUUGAUGUCCCUGAGGUAAUAAGACUUUCUGGAAAUGCUGCAGUGCACCUAUCUAAACGUCUUUUGAGGAUUGAAUUUGCACUUGUAGUUUAAAUGUGAUCUACUUUAAAGAAUUUAAGUAUGUAGUAUGAGCAAUAAAUUAUCACAUAAUGGAAGCAAAGGAUCAAAAUCUUACAGUUUAGGUUUUAUGUGGUACAGAUUAAUUUGUUAAAGUUUCUCUCCUUUUUUACCAAGCAUCUAACUGCAUAUACCAUUGCACAGGUCAUGGCAGUGACAAGGAUAAAUAUCUGCAAGAAUGGGAUGAUGUCCCUUUCACGAAGCGUUCUGAUCAUGUACUACACCUCUGUGUUCAUCUAUUUCUGGAUUUUCUCGACUCCAGUUGUUUCCCUCAUAUUUGGUAGCUACCUAUACAUUUGCAUCAACUGGUUCCACAUUCAUUUCGAUGAAGCCUUCUCAUCACUGCGCAUCGCGAACUACAAAUCUUUCACGAGGUUUCAUAUUAAGAAGGAUGGUGAUCUGGAAAUAUUUACUCUUGCAGUUGACAAGGUAACAGAUUAACCCGCUUCUAUUGCUCUGAUUUGCUUAGUUAGAUAUAUGUUGCCUUAUAUAUAUCUGUAGAUUGUUCUUCUGAUAUGCAAAGCAAAAUGCAUAUAUAUUUUUGCUCUUCUGUGAGCAAACACAGGUCCCAAAGGACUGGAAGUUGGAUCCAAGAUGGGAAUCAGAUGUAAGAGGGCCUCAUCAGCUCAGCCAUGAACGGAAACACCCAAGCAAGUGGAGGUCAGCCUCAUCACCGGACCCUGUCAGAUCUGUACGGGUUGUUGACCAUUUCACCAUUGAACGAACAAGAACCCCAGAUAUGGAGCCCUCUUGUUAAUUCUGCACGCCGUUUUUGUUGUGAGGGGUUGCUAGCUAGAGAAAUUAACAAUAACUGUUGUUUCUUCUUUUCUUUUUGCUUUUAUUUUAAAAAAAAACUGGGUCUAGGUGACUUAGGUUGACAUAGGUUAUCUGCCUUGCAUCCACUUUACUGGCCUUACCUGUAUAGAUAUUCACCUGUCUAGUAAAUGUAUGGAAUGUUUACUGUUGCAACACAUUGUCAAAUCAUGGACUAAUUAGGCUUAAUAGAUUCGUCUCGCCGUUUAGCCUCCGCUUAUGUAAUGGAUUUUGUAAAUAGUUUACGUUUAAUACUCCUAAUUAGUAUCUAAAUAUUCGAUGUGACGAGGAUCUGGAGCAGAUGCAGGAGGAGAGCGCCUACAACAGGCUGCUCAAGGAUCUGGAGCAGAUGCAGGAGGAGAUCGUCAACAAGUACCGCGACAAGGUGCUCAAGGAUCUGGAGCAGAUGACGGGAGGAGAUCGUCAACAAGUGCCUCCACCUGCCGGUGGCCAAGGGCUUCGCCGACCUCGAACCCUUGCCGGAUGCUCCUCCACCUCAGGAGGAGGAGAAUCGAAGGAUGCUGCUGCUGAUGGCGAGUCUCAACAUUGACAGUCAAAUAUAGCUACAAGCUAGCCUGUUACAAGUCUACAACGUAACUGUUUUGGCUGUAUCUGCAUGCUUUUGUGUGGAUUUCUUUGAUUAUCCUCACACAUACAUAUCCAUAUCCUCAUGAACACUCUAGGCAUAUAAUGACUGCAGUGAUUAUUGCCUGCCUAUUUUUUAUAUCAUCUGACAAUAUGCAUACACUCAUGCAUAAAUUGGACAACAAUAUCAAGUGGUGGUCCAUGCAUCUUGAUGAAGUUUGUGACUUACAGAGGUCUUGUUUGGUGUCAGAAUGGUGUACUUUUAUAUUCGUACGUGAAUAUAUUACAGGGAUUGAUAUUUACUCCCUCCCGUAUCGAUAUUAAACCAUUCAUCUUAUUUAAAAAAUUAUUGCAAAUGUAUAAAAAGAUAAGUCAUGCUCAUGCUAAAAGAGUUGCCAAGAAUUUGAUACAAACCAAACCUCUAGCGUCAUAAUUUUUGAAUAAGACGAGGGGUCAAACGUCGUGACCAAAAUCAAUUUUUAACUAAUAAAUAAUAAUAGGGGAUGAGAGAAAAGGAGGGAUAUUCUCCCCCAUCCCUGGUAUGUUCCUCUGACAUCACUGACUGCCUCAUCCUCGUCCAACCCCAAAUGGAGCAAUCGACAGAUCUCGUCCGUUGCUUUUGGAAUGGGCGGUGAGCAGGAGACGGGCCAAGCCAACACAGCCCAUCAGGGGAUAUUCGUUUCUUCUCGCCAUUCGAUUCGGAUGCGCAUGUCCUUCCUCCCUCCAUCUUCCCCGGCGGCCUCCACCUCCUCCCGCCCGCCUGCCUGCCACCCGGAACGAGCUCCCCCCGCUAUCCUCCCCCAGCAUUCGGUCUGCGUCGACUCAAGAUCAGUCCGGGCUCCGCCGACUCAUUCCUCCUCAUCCUUCGCUUGGUAACGCACCCCUAACUCGCAUUCCAUUUUUCCUUUUUCGUUUUCAUUAGAGCGGCGAAAUCCCAAUCUUCCCGUUCCCCAUCCACUUAAUCUGUUCUUCCUCUUCUCCAUAACGCGCAUGAUAACCCAUCCAUCUCGCUUGAUUCAACUCGCGCCAUAGGGCUCGGGACCCAAUGUGCAGUCCAAUUUCUUCUUCUUCUUCUUCUUUUUUAAUCGAGAAAAAAAUAUUUUGGUGGCUCCGCUCAGCUCAACUGAACCCCCUACGCACCUAACUUAUUGUUAACCCACCAGGAAAAGAGGAAAGAAAAUUAUAUCUCAUAUGAUGCGUUUCUAAAAGAAAUGUUCACUUUGCUUGUUCGUUUCCUACCUAUUUUCUUGUUUCGGUGACUGCGUGUCAAAUGCUUCUAUUACAAGUAAAAGGUACUAUAAUACUUCCCGCUUUGCACUAGUUACUUCUUGAGUAAAGGCGUGAUGCCUUGCUUCCGCACGGUUGACUCUGCCCACGUGCUAUCAUACACACAUUGUUCUGUUCUGUUCUAUAUCCUUUGCCUAACAUUGUCCUAGGAUGCCACUUGUUGUAGGUUUUAAAGAUUCCACUUUCUUCCGCGGCCAAACUCAGAAAUGUGCAAUCACCAUCCGGAUAAUGUACCUUGGCAUGCUUCGAAAAUUAGUUCAGUUUGCAAUAGGCGUAGGCAUUAAUGAGCAAUCAUUAAUAUUCAUCAGUUCAUAUAUAGCCAACUUAUUUUUUUUAUGCGGAGAUCUGACAUAAUAUAUAUAUAUAUAUAUAUAUAUAUAUAUAUAUAUAUAUAUAUAUAUAUAUAUAUAUAUAUAAAAUCAUGCAGGCAUGGCUUACAUCAGUUCAUCUUGAAGUUUGAAGGAGAAGUUCAGUGGCACGCCAUUUUUCCAAAACAGCUAUACUGCUUGUAACAAAGAUAUUCCGAUGGGUUCAGACAAGCAGGGUGGUAGCCCACGCCCACUCUUGGGAAACCUCAAGAUGGGUAGAGUUAGGACUAUCCUCACACAUACAUAUCCAUAUCCUCACGAACACUCCAGGCAUAUUAUGACCGCAGUGAUUAUUGCCUGCCUAUUUUUUAUAUCAUCUGACAAUAUGCAUACACUCAUACAUAAAUUGGACAAUAAUAUCAAGUGGUGGUCCAUGUAUGUUUGCCUCAUUGGCUUCUUUUAUUUCUUUUCAUCCCCUUUUCUUGGGAGGACCAUUCAGCCAAGUUACUCAAAUUUUAAUCGCUGGUAUGUUUCAGAAUUCAGACUUCUUCAAUACUCAAUGUUAAAUUCUUUGUCUUUAUCUUUAUUGACCGCAGAAGCUCUACGCUAAUUGUUAAGCACGCCACUCAUAUGGUCAUAUUGCAUAAUUGCAGGUAUGUCGCUUGGAUUUGCUUUGCGUCCCUGUACCAUCUUCCUAGCUUCCAAUCAAUGGGGGUUGAUAUGCGCAUGAACCUUUCACUAUUUUUGACGAUAUAUUUCUCCUCGGUCCUUUUCAUUAUUGCCUUCCAUAUCAUAUUUAUCGGUCUCUGGUACAUUGGGCUGGUUGCUCGUAUGGCAGGAACAAGACCAGGAAUAUGGACAAUAGUCCAGAACUGUACUGUAAGUUUUCUAAAAUGUCUGUUUCUACCCCCCCUGCCCACUACUCCAACAAAGGUUGACCUUUUGCAUCUCUUUCAGGUAAUCAGUAUUGCUUGCUGUGUCUUCUACAGUCAUUGUGGGAACCGUGCUGUGCACAAGAGCAAAUCUUUUGGUAGUAGUUCCGAUCCAAAUUUUCUUGCUUUUCUUGAAAAUGAAAAUAGAAGUACCUGGAUAUCAAAUUUUCUCCGCAUGAACCAGUUGAAAGAUCAGAUAUGUUCAUCUUGGUUUGCUCCUGUUGGAUCUGCCAGUGACUAUCCUCUGCUUGCGAAAUGGGUUAUCUAUGGAGAGGUACUACUUGCUUCUGCUUUAUUCAUCUAUUGUCUUUUCUCAUACCUUUUUUAUGGCAACAUCCAUACUGCACUUCUUUGAUCAUGUUUUUCUCCAGUUAGUUUGCAGUGGAUCCUGUGCUGGCCCAUCAGAUGAAAUAUCUCCAUUGUACUCAUUGUGGGCUACAUUUGUUGGCCUCUAUAUUGCUAACUUUGUUGUGGAAAGAUCAACAGGGUAUGCCUUCAGUAUUUUACCUUAUGCGUACUAUUAUUGCUGAAUUAGCCGUUGUCAAAUAGAGGCUAGUAAUGUUUCUUUCCAAUAUCUUAAAUUCUCUCCUCUGAAUGGUCAGUAUUUGUGUAUUUCUUAAUUAUGUUUUGCAAAUAUUUCAGAUGGGCUCUUACCCACCCGUCAACAGAUUUGGAGGAUGAGAAGCUGAAGAGACAUAUGAAACCAGAUUUCCUGGACAUGGUACCUUGGUAUUCAGGGUAGGCUCUUCUACUUCUACAUAUUAAUUAAACCAAGUUAGAUUCCAGAUGAGACCAAAAGAAAACAUCAGACAUCCUCAUUGUUAAUUUAUACAGGACAUCAGCUGAUUUAUUCAAGACAGCAUUUGAUCUUAUGGUCUCUGUGACUCUUUUUGUUGGGCGAUUUGACAUGCGCAUGAUGCAGGUAAGGGGUGCUUGUUCUUGAUGUAAGGUGAUCCAAUGUAAAAUCCACAGAUACUUUUUCCCCUGUAAAGUUGACCUCCAAAAUGUUGUACAUGUUCAUUUAAUGUUGAUACUUUGUUAACUGCAAUGUCUCUGCAUCUUUGUACAUCUCUGUGUUCAAACAUUUUUUAUUUUUCAAACCAUCUUUUAUAUCCUUCUGUAGGCUGCAAUGAAAGGACCAACAGAUGACACUCAGAAUGCUGACCUGUUAUAUGACUCCUUCAAUGAAAGGGAAGACCUUUGGUUUGACUUUGUUGCAGACACUGGUGAUGGAGGAAAUUCAUCAUAUACAGUUGCUCGACUGUUAGCUCAACCAUCUAUUAGGACUGUAAUUGGUGGCUCUAUGCAUACUCUUCCACGUGGGAACUUACUUCUUAUCGGUGGAGACCUCGCGUAAGAUUUUAUCAUAUUUAAUUAUACAUGGUUCUUCUCUGCAGUCAAUCUACAAGUGCAUAACUGCAUAUUCACAAUGCAUCUCUCUGUUGACUUUUUCUUGGCAAUUAGGACUGUACAAUUCACUGCAUCUUGAUACCUUGGAAAUUAAGUCACUUAAAUUCUAUCUAAGUGUUGGAAGAUCUAUUUAGGCUAUUAAUCACUUGGUUGAGCUUUUGUCCUAUAUUUGGAAGAAAGUGUUAUGUUAUUGAUCUCUGUGCACCACAAUAUUUUGCAUUUUGCAUCUUCCCUGCUUAAUUGAUAGGCAGAGCUACCGCAUUAUGCUCUGAAACCAAAGAUUACAUUAGUCGCAUCCAUAUGAAUCAUGAUAUUCUUCUUCUUCGGAGAUAAAGAUCUGAUAUUAUUUUUGAAUAUAUGAUUCUUUGUGCCUGGUAUCAGUUGGAAUUCUCCAUUCCAUCAGGCCCGUAUAGCUGAACCUGUUUCUAGCUCUUGUAUGGCCUGUAGCCAACAGACAUUUCAAUCUUCUAUUGCUUCCAUCCUGAGAUCCAUAUCUUUAUUGCCCAUACAUAGUGGUACAAUCUAUAAACUAGACAAGAUUUAGCCCAUUAUAUUAGUGCAUUGUAGAUCUGUCAUCUUGGAAUCUUGGAAUUUGCAGGUACCCAAACCCUUCAUCAUUUACAUAUGAGAGGCGCUUCUUUAGGCCCUUUGAGUAUGCUCUGCAACCUCCACCUUGGUAUAGGGCUGAACAUAUAGCUCUGGAUAAGCCUGAGCUUCCUCCCGGUGUAUCAAAGAUGUCUGAAUAUGAUGGGCCACAGUGUUUUAUAAUUCCUGGAAACCAUGGUCUGUUAACAUUCUUGAUCAAUCUAAUUUAUCUAAUUUGACUUUAUUUCUUGUGUACUUGAUCAAUUAUGUAAGGAAUAUGAUGCGUGCUUGUAUUGAUUUCUUAAUUGUGACUUGUUUUCAACAGACUGGUUUGAUGGACUGCACACAUUUAUGAGAUAUAUAUGUCACAAAAGCUGGUUAGGUGGAUGGUUUCUGCCUCAGAAGAAGAGCUAUUUUGCAUUGCAGCUUCCCAAGGGUUGGUGGAUAUUUGGUCUUGAUUUAUCUCUUCAUGGUGACGUUGAUGUGUACCAAUUCAAGUUUUUUGCAGAUCUUUGUCAGAAAAAGGUGCAUUUUCCUUCACUUGCUUGCGCCCCCCCCCCCCCCCACCCUGAAAUGGUAGCGGGAAUUUGCUUCAUUUGUGCCCCUUUUUUUUUUGGGUUUCAUGUGGUUCAACAUGCAGUGAUUAAUUGUUUUAAGUCUUCAAACAUGUACGCUUAAUAUUAGGAUGUAUAGUAAAACAAAAAAAAUGUUGACAGAAGAUUGUUUGCAGUCUUAGGCCCUUUUGCAUUCUAGUUGGAAAGAUACUCAUGUAUGUUUCCAGAAUAUCUCUUGGAAGUUGUGGCUAAUAUUUUAAUUUCCAGAUUUGAUUGAUCCGCUAUAAUACUAAAGUUCUGCAGGUUGGGGAGAAUGACUCUGUGAUUGUAGUGACACAUGAGCCAAACUGGCUUCUUGAUUGGUACUGGAAGGAGACUACAGGCAAGAAUGUCUCACAUUUAAUUCAGGAAUACCUGAAUGGAAGAUGUAGACUUCGCAUGGCGGGGGAUUUACACCAUUUUAUGAGGCAUUCUGCCACUCGAUCAGAAAAGCCUAAUUUUGUGCAACACUUGCUUGUCAAUGGAUGUGGUGGCGCCUUUUUGCACCCAACACAUGUUUUUAGAAACUUUGAGAGGUUCUCUGGAACCACCUAUGAAUGCAAGGCAGCUUAUCCAUCUUAUGACGAGUCUAGUGGGGUAUGUUACUCCCUAUGUUGAAGUAUUUUUUUUUCUUUUUAGCUUAUUGAUCAGCUUAACAUGCUUGUGUGAAUUGUUAGAUGAGCAAGAUCUAAUUUACAAAAUUCACAGAUUGCACUGGGUAACAUACUGAAGUUCCGCAAGAAGAAUUGGCAGUUUGAUACUAUUGGUGGUUUUAUCUACUUUAUAUUGGUGUUUUCAAUGUUCCCACAGGUCAGUUACAGAUUCCCAAAGCUGCCAUUUUCUUUAAACUAUUAUCCUUUCUCGCACUUCAUAAUUAGUAACUGUUGGUGUUUGUUUGUAAUAGUAAACUUGAACAUUUAAAUUCCUUCCUUUUUCCUCAUUUUUUUUACAAAUUGAAACCUUGAAGCACUGGACAUGUCUCUAUUUUUCAUUGUGCAAUUGUUCUAAUUUGUCUUUAAAUAACUGAGCUCUGCUUUAUUACUAGUAUCUCUAUUAAAUUAUUUAAACAUCUCUUGAAGACCGUAUAACUUUCCAAUCAUGGACCAUGCAAUUUAUUUCAAAAUAUUCAUAUAUCAACAUGAACAACCAACAUCGUCAAAGGGCUGAGUUCAACUCAUCCCCUCAAGGACUAAACAACCGAGAACAGGCUAAUUAAUCAUCAUCAGUUGGAUUGUACCAGUCCCUGGCUGACCACCAGUAGCAAAUUAUUUUCCUAGGAAGAAUUUACUAAGUUCUAUUUGUCAAUUAAGUAGAAUUUGCACAUCCUUUGCAAGUUCUGCUUGUCAAUUUAGUAGAAGUUGCACAUUUUUUUCUUUCUUUGAACCUGCCCCUAAACGUGCUGACCUCUGUUGUGAAUUUAUUGUUUGAUGUUCGUGUUUACCUUUUCUUAUAAUGUAACUGAUGCAGUGAUGCUUAUAAAUCUUGAAGCAUGUUCAUUGACCCAAAGUUAGUCAGUCAAUAUUGUUCAUAACCAGCCUCAGAGGAGUACUUUGCAUCACAUAAAUCAUCCUGUUACUUUCUUUGAUCUCUUGGUUGGCUACUGGUUUCAGUUUCUUGUUAUUGUUGUUCUCUUCCAUUUUUUAACUGCACACUCAGUCACCUAUUAUUGCCUGGAAGGUCAAUCAAUUUGUACUCAUAUUCUUACUUAUAUUUCUACUUGUUCCAGUGUAAUCUUGUUCACAUCUUCAAUGAAGAAACUUGGUCUGGGCGUGUGAAAAGCUUCUCAAGUACAAUAUGGAGUGCUUUGCUUUAUAUUUUUGAACACUCUUAUGUCUCUUCAGUAGCAAGUCUAACUUUAUUGAUGGCAUCAUAUUCAUUUGUACCAUCGAAACUCUCACGGAGGAAAAGAGCUAUUAUAGGCGGCCUCCAUGUUUUGGCCCAUUUAACUGCAGCUCUACUUUUAAUGUUGCUGCUGGAGUUGGGCAUUGAAAUUUGUAUCCGGAAUCACUUAUUAGCAACUUCAGGUAUGCCAUACAAUACUGUGUUUCCUAAAUUCUUGUUGUAGAUAUUAAGAUCCAUUCAAAGGCGAAAGCUGUGAAUACAUUUUUUUUUGUAGGUUAUCACACUCUAUAUGAAUGGUAUCGGUCCAUGGAAAGUGAGCAUUUUCCAGAUCCUACUGGUCUUCGUUCUCGUUUGGAACAAUGGACGCUGGGACUGUACCCAGCAUGUAUAAAAUACCUUAUGUCGGCCUUUGAUGUCCCUGAGGUAAUAAGACUUUCUGGAAAUGCUGCAGUGCACCUAUCUAAACGUCUUUUGAGGAUUGGAUUUGCACUUGUAGUUUAAAUGUGAUCUACUUUAAAGAAUUUAAGUAUGUAGUAUGGGUAAUAAAUUAUCACAUAAUUGAAGCAAAGGAUCAAAAUCUUACAGUUUAGGUUUUAUGUGGUACAGAUUAAUUUGUUAAAGUUUCUCUCCUUUUUCAAUCCUUGUUCUGUAGAUUUUAUUACCAAGCAUCUAACUGCAUAUACCAUUGCACAGGUCAUGGCAGUGACAAGGAUAAAUAUCUGCAAGAAUGGGAUGAUGUCCCUUUCGCGAAGCGUUCUGAUCAUGUACUACACCUCUGUGUUCAUCUAUUUCUGGAUUUUCUCGACUCCAGUUGUUUCCCUCAUAUUUGGUAGCUACCUAUACAUUUGCAUCAACUGGUUCCACAUUCAUUUCGAUGAAGCCUUCUCAUCACUGCGCAUCGCGAACUACAAAUCUUUCACGAGGUUUCAUAUUAAGAAGGAUGGUGAUCUGGAAAUAUUUACUCUUGCAGUUGACAAGGUAACAGAUUAACCCGCUUCUAUUGCUCUGAUUUGCUUAGUUAGAUAUAUGUUGCCUUAUAUAUCUGUAGAUUGUUCUUCUGAUAUGCAAAGCAAAAUGCAUAUUUUUGCUCUUCUGUGAGCAAACACAGGUCCCAAAGGACUGGAAGUUGGAUCCAAGAUGGGAAUCAGAUGUAAGAGGGCCUCAUCAGCUCAGCCAUGAACGGAAACACCCAAGCAAGUGGAGGUCAGCCUCAUCACCGGACCCUGUCAGAUCUGUACGGGUUGUUGACCAUUUCACCAUUGAACGAACAAGAACCCCAGAUAUGGAGCCCUCUUGUUAAUUCUGCACGCCGUUUUUGUUGUGAGGGGUUGCUAGCUAGAGAAAUUAACAAUAACUGUUGUUUCUUCUUUUCUUUUUGCUUUUUUUUUAAAAAAACUGGGUCUAGGUGACUUAGGUUGACAUAGGUUAUCUGCCUUGCAUCCACUUUACUGGCCUUACCUGUAUAGAUAUUCACCUGUCUAGUAAAUGUACUCAAUGGAAUGUUAAAGAACUAGGGAGCGUUACAGCAGAAUGAAUGGAGAAAGCAAAUGGAUGAUUGCCUUUUUCUCUAGUCUAGCCUUAAAAGACCUGAUGCUGGUUCCUUUCGUGGGUGCCACUCUUUACAUUUGUCCAAAUUAAAGUUGCUGGAUGAGACACUGCAUCACUACUGGCUUGGUGAUGUCGACUUGUUUGCAGAAAGAACAAGUGUGCAAGCUUUGCUGUAUCUUGUCCAAGGCUAAAGCCGCGGCCAUGGCAUCUCUGCUUUGCUCAUGAAGCGAGCAAGCAUCUAUCUGGGGGUGAUCUUCUGGACACGCUCCAACGCUUGUCCAUCAUAUCGAUCAGAUGAGGCUAUAAAUGAGCAAGCAGCUUGCUAAGCUGGGUCAUCAUCGGUGACAUACAACAUACACCUGCAUAUAUUAUAUUAUAUACAGAGAAGAAAACAUUUUAUUACAAGCUCAGCAAACCCAUCAUGGCCGACCAGGUAGAGAGCAAGCAGCCUGCUCCCGGGGGCGAAACUGAGCAGCUGAAGCAGCUGCACUCUCGAGUGGAGAAGCUGUGUGAUGACAUCGACAAGGAGGUCGACAGCGAUCUGCCUGGUAGGGACAAUCUGGCCAGAAUCUCUGAUGUCCUCAAAGUGAUCAAGGACAAGAUCACACCGACCGAAGACGGUGGCGACGUCAGCGCCGCCACCAAGGAGCAGCAGCUUCUCCCCCUGAGCAAGAGGGAGGAGCUGUUCAACCUGCUGCCCUCCAUCGAGCGCGCAUUGGCAUUUCAGCAACAGCAACGCAAGCAGGCACCAGGGGAGCAAGGCCAAGGCGACAAGACGAGGCUGCCGUCGGCGACCGGCUGCAACCCCUUCAAGCCCCGGUCGUCACAGCGGCAAAGCGAGCAGCAGCGGCGGGAGGAGGAGGAAGACGAGGUGGUGUCGCUGAAGCUGCUUCUCCGGCUGACCCAGAACGUGCUGGAGCCGGAGCAGUACUACGAGUGGACGACGAGCUACGUGGACGAGAGCAGAAUCUACGGCUGGGACAAGGAGGCCAACGAGCUGGCGGAGGCGCUCGUCGCCCCCGACGACGGCGAGAGCCUGUUCCGGGCGGCGGGCAUUGCUGGCGUCCACGGCAGCGGCAAGACGGCGCUGGCGCAGAAGGUGUUCGUGCACGACAAGGCCAAGGACAACUUCGCCAUCCGGCUCUGGGUCUGCGUCGGACCACCGGACUCCGAGGACCGCUUCGGCCUCCUCUACCGGAUGCUCGACAACCUCGGCCUCGACACCGCCAAGGUCGAGGUCAUCGUCGACAACUCCAACGCCGUCAAGCCGCACCGGGAUGACGCGGUGGCCAGGAUCCGCAGCGACACAGCCAAAGUCGCCAGCAUCAAGGAGGCCGCCGAGAAGGUCCGCCGCGCCCGACAAGCCCAGGAGCAGACCGACAAGCAGAAGCCCGACGACGGCGACGUCAAAGAUGACACGAAGGAAGGACAGGCGGCGGACGACAGCAUCUUCAAUCAGCUGCUCAAGGAGGCGGCUGAUGAGAGCCCUGACGUCCAGAAAUCCAAAAUCGGUAGGCCCAUCUUCUUCUUCUUCUUCUUCGUCGUCGUCGUCGUCCUCCUCCUCCUCCUGAGGACAAUGCGACGUGGCAUGCAUGUAUAGGUGUGCUGCUGUACAUCCUCCACACGACCCUGUCCAAGACGUCGUACAUGAUCGUGUUCGACGACAUCCGGGCGUACGGCGACGACGGGUGGUACAGCAACCUGGCGCUGGCGCCGCCGCCGGAGGGCGAGUGGGGGGACCGCCUCGGCUACGGCCUGCCCAAGGGCAACCACAGGGGCGCCGUGCUCCUCACCUGCCGCAACGAGGACCACGCCAGGUCCAUGGUGCGCACCGGCCGCGUCGUCCGCCCGCCAAGGCUCGAGCUCGACGACGCAUGGAAGCUCUUCAGGAGGGAGUACGACCAGGCCAAGGAAGCCAAGCGCAGCAGCAACAAAGGCGGCGACGACGACAAGCUGCUCAAGGAUCUGGAGCAGAUGCAGAAGGAGAUCGUCAACAAGUGCCUCGGCCUGCCGGUGGCCAUCGCCGAGGCGGCCAAGGGCUUCGCCGACCUCGAACCCUUGCCGGAUGCUCCUCCACCUAAGGCGGAAGCUAAUAAACCUGCAGUGGUUGAUCAGACAGGUAUUGGUAGC